GAUGAACGCUGGCGGCGUGCCUAAUACAUGCAAGUCGAGCGAACAGACGAGGAGCUUGCUCCUCUGACGUUAGCGGCGGACGGGUGAGUAACACGUGGAUAACCUACCUCUAAGACUGGGAUAACUUCGGGAAACCGGAGCUAAUACCGGAUAAUAUAUUGAACCGCAUGGUUCAAUAGUGAAAGACGGUUUUGCUGUCACUUAUAGAUGGUUCCGCGCCGCAUUAGCUAGUUGGUAAGGUAACGGCUUACCAAGGCAACGAUGCGUAGCCGACCUGAGAGGGUGAUCGGCCACACUGGAACUGAGACACGGUCCAGACUCCUACGGGAGGCAGCAGUAGGGAAUCUUCCGCAAUGGGCGAAAGCUUGACGGAGCAACGCCGCGUGAGUGAUGAAGGUCUUCGGAUCGUAAAACUCUUUUAUUAGGGAAGAACAAAUGUGUAAGUAACUAUGCACGUCUUGACGGUACCUAAUCAGAAAGCCACGGCUAACUACGUG
rnacentral:rRNA from 1 species